rnacentral:rRNA from 1 species
UGGAUUAGUGGCGAACGGGUGAGUAACACGUGAGUAACCUGCCCCUGACUCUGGGAUAAGCGUUGGAAACGACGUCUAAUACUGGAUAUGAUCACUGGCCGCAUGGUCUGGUGGUGGAAAGAUUUUUUGGUUGGGGAUGGACUCGCGGCCUAUCAGCUUGUUGGUGAGGUAAUGGCUCACCAAGGCGACGACGGGUAGCCGGCCUGAGAGGGUGACCGGCCACACUGGGACUGAGACACGGCCCAGACUCCUACGGGAGGCAGCAGUGGGGAAUAUUGCACAAUGGGCGAAAGCCUGAUGCAGCAACGCCGCGUGAGGGAUGACGGCCUUCGGGUUGUAAACCUCUUUUAGUAGGGAAGAAGCGAAAGUGACGGUACCUGCAGAAAAAGCACCGGCUAACUACGUGCCAGCAGCCGCGGUAAUACGUAGGGUGCAAGCGUUGUCCGGAAUUAUUGGGCGUAAAGAGCUCGUAGGCGGUUUGUCGCGUCUGCUGUGAAAUCCCGAGGCUCAACCUCGGGCUUGCAGUGGGUACGGGCAGACUAGAGUGCGGUAGGGGAGAUUGGAAUUCCUGGUGUAGCGGUGGAAUGCGCAGAUAUCAGGAGGAACACCGAUGGCGAAGGCAGAUCUCUGGGCCGUAACUGACGCUGAGGAGCGAAAGCGUGGGGAGCGAACAGGAUUAGAUACCCUGGUAGUCCACGCCGUAAACGUUGGGCGCUAGAUGUAGGGACCUUUCCACGG